rnacentral:sRNA from 1 species
AAGGAAGUAAGGAAAACGCCGCCGCGGCC